rnacentral:misc_RNA from 1 species
GAUGAAGAACGUAGCGAAAUGCGAUAAGUAAUGUGAAUUGCAGAAUCCAGUGAAUCAUCGAAUCUUUGAACGCACAUUGCGCCCGCCAGCAUUCUGGCGGGCAUGCCUGUUCGAGCGUCAUUUCAACCCUCGACCUCCCCUUGGGGAGGUCGGCGUUGGGGACCGGCAGCACACCGCCGGCCCUGAAAUGGAGUGGCGGCCCGUCUGCGGCGACCUCUGCGUAGUAAUACAGCUCGCACCGGAACCCCGACGCGGCCACGCCGUAAAACACCCCACUUCUGAACGUUGACCUCGAAUCAGGUAGGACUACCCGCUGAACUUAAGCAUAUCAAUAAGCGGAGGA